GGAACUCCGAACGUCCAGACCUACAUCUCCCUACAGGGCCAUCGGUGACCCGGCUGGAGACCUUGAACGUAAAUCAGCAUCAGUCCAGGGGCCUGGUGGUAAGGUGGGAAUCCAUGUUUGUGUCUGAAGUGCUUAGCAAUAAAGCCAAGGUGGUGAGUG